GGUGAGAUGGCCGAGGGGUUUAAGGCGCUCCUCUGCUAAGGGAGUAUGUAAUUUUAAAUGCAUCGAGGGUUCGAAUCCCUCUCUCACCG
rnacentral:tRNA from 1 species